AAAUUUUUUUCCCCCGCAUCCCCCCUGCCUUCCCAAUCCCUAAGAAGUUUUGUCCAACCUACGAUCUCUUCACCUACUUUCUGUUUUUCUUUCCUAAUCUCUUCAAACUGGUGAACCCCAUCUAUGCCAGGGAACCCCUCUCUGCCUAAUCCCUCCAUGCUGCCUAAACACCUUUGUGUCCCCCCCCCCCCUUCAUGUUUUCCUUCCUAAACCUAAACGCCUAAACACCUUUCCGAACUCUAAGCGAAAAAACACAUCUCCGUCCAACCUACGAUCUCUUCACUUAUCUCUUUGCAUUUUUCUUACCCUCUCUACCUAUGAUUUAUCUCUCUUUUAUUCGUUAAUAAAUAGAGUCUUUCGUCGUGCAGCGUCGGCGUAGUAGCUCGUUGAUCUCCAAUGCAGUAGCUUUGGAAGAGGAAUAGUAGAGCUAGCGGCAACAAAGAGUCAACCCAGAUAGUGGCACCGCCAGCGCUGAUGGCUAAGCGGGCCAAGAAGAAAGUGAGGGAUAUGGAAGAUACUGAUUUGGGGAAAAAGAAGGUGACCUUGUUCUUUGGCUCGCAAACUGGCACCCCCGAGAGGUUCGCGAAGAUUUCCUCUAAGAAUUGAUUUUUGAGCAAACAUUGACGGACGAGGUCAAUGCGAGGUACAAGAAGGUCAUCUUCAAAGUUGUCUAUUUGGUACUUGGGUCCUGUGAAGUAUUUGAAGAAAGACAAGUUGGAAAUGAACGGUUUAACAUUUUUAAUGGUUGCCCUUUUGGUCAGACUGCAACCAUUAUUCUCAGAGUUCAUUGAAGAUGCAGAAAGGAGCCUUCAUGAUGAUAGUUAGGAGAGCUUUGAAGAACUCUACCAUUGUGCUUGGUGGUGGUGCCAUUAAUAUGGAACUAAGCCGGUAUUUAAGGGUGCAUGCCCGUACAAUAGCUGGGAAGUCAUGGAUGUUUAUCAAUUCCUAUGCCAAAGCUCUUGAGUUUUGAAGAUAAUCUUGGUCUUUGUGGCUAUUGGCUAAGCUCUCCUCACCACUUCCAUCCACCACAGAGAGAAAGAGAGUUGGUUUUAAGAAGACGUCGAUGAUGGUAGAUAAGCCAAAUGUUUUUAAGCAAAAACCUUUGCCACAAAUCAAGCUCCUGCUACCACAAGGGAUUACCUGAAGAUUAUGUUGAGAGGGUGAAAUAAGUUCACAAAGUUGGUGGUUAUGGAUCCAAAGGAUUGUGCCUUGUGCAUUAUUAGCACUUGCAAUUUACUUGGAAGUUGUUUCGGUGUUGCCCUACACAAGGUCAACGACUAAUGCAGAACAUAAAGGUUAUUGAUCUCCUGGUGUCUUAGCAAAGAAGUAGAAAGAUUGGACUUUUUGAUGGAGCUAAUGUGGGGAAGACUGGAUUUAUUAUGAAACUGAUAAUCAACAAUAUUAGAAAAGGUUGACAUGAAAGAAUCAGUAACUGAGAAAGAGGAGUCCAAUGAAAUCCUACAAGUUGAAAAUUGUGAUGGGACUUGGGUUGACAAUAAUUAAGUACAAUCCUACAUGACAUGAACCACCAUCAUAACUUUCUAGUCUUUUGGCUAUUGUUCAUUAGUUACAAAUGGAGUUUAUUUGUUUAUUUAUAUUGGGAUAAAUUUUAUUUGAACAUGAGACAUGUUUCUACUUUUGUGAUUGUAAUUCUUGUAUAAGUAACAUUUUGA